AGGCGGGCAGUUUGACUGGGGCGGUCGCCUCCUAAAAGGUAACGGAGGCGCUCAAAGGUUCCCUCAGAAUGGUUGGAAAUCAUUCAUAGAGUGUAAAGGCAUAAGGGAGCUUGACUGCGAGACCUACAAGUCGAGCAGGGUCGAAAGACGGACUUAGUGAUCCGGUGGUUCCGCAUGGAAGGGCCAUCGCUCAACGGAUAAAAGCUACCCCGGGGAUAACAGGCUUAUCUCCCCCAAGAGUUCACAUCGACGGGGAGGUUUGGCACCUCGAUGUCGGCUCA
rnacentral:rRNA from 1 species